AUCUGCAGGUUUAUCCUUUGUUUUGUUUUGUCGUUUCGUUCUCGCCACUCGGUGCUGGAUAGCUCAGCCUAAUUCUUGUCCCCUCUCUCUUCCUUCUUCCGCCUUCGACUCUUUGGCCGCCCUCUGCUGGUUACGCGCGUCCAUUUACCAAAAACAAAAACAGCAACGCGGCACGCGAGGAUUGCGGUAAGUACGAGGAGGCUAUAGCGAACUACAUACACAGAGUAACUCCACAUAUUCAGGUCUUUCUCGCGGUCUGUGCGUGGGCGUGCAGCUGACUAUCUUCCUACAGUCAUUGCGUUGGUGACUACACUCUUCCAGUCUUUCAGACAUCCCCUCUUCUGCGGCUGUCGUCGUCGCCGCGGAUUUCUCUCGCUACUAAAUUCUUUUUUUUUUGCCUCCGCCUUUUUCCUUGUUUGCGCGUGUGUGCGCUGGUGACAUCGGCGUCUUGAGCGUGGUGUAAUUCGGGUCCAGAGAGCCUUCAUAGAGUUAGCGAGCGAGAGCGCACGGAGUAUCGAACCCACAUCUAGCGUGGAGCUGAGCUGAAUUGACGAAUUUGUGUCCGUACCUUCCGUGUCCUUAGACUGUCUUUUUCCUUUCUUCUCUCUGCACAGAGGUGCCCCUUGCGUGCGUCAUCGCGCCUGUUCUUUUUUCGCACCUCCUUCAUCUGUACGCGGUACCAUGUACCCACACUCGAAGCAGUCGAUGGCGUCGACCAUCCACAGCUUCGUCACGGAGAACAAAAUCGAGGAGAAGGGGCUAAAGCUCAGCGAACUGCGCCGCUUGCCGAACUCAAAUCAGGUUUCGAUCGUGUUCGAUGGUAACCGUGUGCUGGACGACGUUGUCCAAGACGUGCACGUCACCGGCCCCCUCACCAUCUUCACUGCCUCCACCCCGUGGUCCGCCUACACCGUCAUCAGCGAGUACACGGAGAUGGUGCGCAAGCUGGGCGAGUACUUUCGGGCAUGUGACGCGGACUUCAAGCCGAUGUUUGUCUUCAACGGGUGCGGGUUUCAUCCGAUGGAGGACCAGGACACGACAUCGCCGGCCCCGCCGAUGGAGGUGGCGUCCUACAGCGCCUACAACAAGAACAAGACGGUUCGCAGCGUGCCGGCCGAGGCACAGAAAAAGUUCGCCUCGCGCUUUGCAAUCGAGGAGGAUGUCGAGGGCUUAAUCGUUAGGAAGCUGUGCGAAGUUGCCGAGGAAACGAUGCGGGCGCCGUACUUAGCGUGGAGCCAGAUCUCUGCCUUCUUCGCCCCAUCGAACACAAUGACCUCGGAAACUUUUGGGUCGCUGGAGCUGCUUGCUUUCCCCGGCAUCGACCGCGUGAUCACAAACAUCGAUGUCGACGCCGGCACCUUCGAUUGCGUGUCGAAGGCCUCCAUGAUGGCCGCGCUGCGCCGCCGCUACGACGCCGAGUUCUCCGAGGACGACUUCAGCGCCAUUGCCCUCUACGAAACGAAGAACCGCCUCUUCCGCGUCAAGAACCGCCGCGAGACCUUCGACGACCUUUGCCGCCUUCCGCGAGACCCGACCCGCGUAGACGCCUUUAUGAAGCAACACCGCGUCAGCGAAGAUCAGAAGCUGCUGCUGCGUCGCAACUUGGGUGCCUUAGAUGCACCGGUGUUCACCGUGGACGCGCAGCUGGUGCCGCUGUCGACGCUGCACAACCGGCCACGCCGCUGCGAAAUUCGCCCGAUCUUUGGUAGCCCGAUGCCUAUUGUGUUCUUCUACCUCUUCAUGAGUGGCCCGCUGCUGCCGCUGCCCUUCGCCAUCCACAGUCAGGAGGUACUGGCGGAUGACUGGCCGCUCAUCGACACCUCUGCCUACCGUCGCGCCGCGGAGUCGAUCUUGCCACUACGCGUGCAGGUGGUCUUUCAACUGUUCCCGAUAGCCCCCAAGACGAGUGACUUCUACUGGAUCCGGCAGUAUGUCGUGUUCAAGAAGCAGCAGCAAGCGCCGGAGUCACAGUCGCGUGUCUGCAAGCUGAGCAACCCGCCCACCAUUGACCUGGCGUACUGGAGCUUUAUGGAGGAAGAGCUGUUGCAGUCGACGCGCGACGCAGACAACGUCUACUUCACCGAUAUUGUGUCCUUCUGCGGCUGCGCGGUGGCCGAGCCGGUCAUCUACAAGUCAGUCCAGGCUACGCUGGCUGCCGUCUACCUGCGCUCCCUCGACUUCCUAGGCUACUUCACGCACGCCACGGACGGCGCGGAGUCGAGCGGGCCGUCCGUGUACUGCAAGGCGCUCGAGCGCUUUGAUUGCCCGACGCUGAGCGAGUACGGUGUGCUGCUGAUUGAGCUCAUGCGCACUGGCACGCUGAACGAUGAUCCGUUGGUGGUGGUGCUCAAUCGCGUCGACGACACCAUUCCCAUGGGCGUGCGCUUUGCGUCUCGGCUGGUGUCCAUUAUCCCCGCCAACGUAUGCGGGCCGUGGUCGGGACCCUUUGAUCCGGAGAUGGCCGCCUUCGGCGUCAUUUCUCGUCUGUUUAGCCGCACCCUGCGCGUCCUACACGAGGUUGUCGCCAUGCUUCUGUUCGCCAACCGCGCGACGACGGUGCCGUGGGACCAGUUCAGUAACGUUGUGCAGCGUCUUCCCUUCAACUUCCCGGCCGAAUUCUCUGCGGGCUUCCUGAUGACGUACGUGCUGUGCAACCCGCAGUGCACGAUGGAGGAACUGUGCGCCACCUUCCCUGAGAUGUACGCCCUGGACACUGACCUGCAAACGCUCUUCUGGUUCUUCACGAUGGGCUUCGAGGCGAUUCGCGUCAUCAAUUACGAGGAGCCACUGUCGUACGACAUGGUGCAGGUGGUGAACGCUGCGCGGCAGCUGGUUGGCCAGGCGUGCGAGCGCCUCUGCCCCGAUGUCUUCGUCGCACACUUUCCCACGGCUGACAUCCUCUUCGUUGCGCAGAACCAGGGCAUGGACAUGGGCCCGAUGGAUCCGCAGAUGGACGUCCCCAUGCCGAUGAACAACAUGCACGGCCAGAUGCCGAGCAACAUGAACAUGAACAUGAAUAUGAACAUGCACACCGGCAUGAACUCCAACAUGAUGCAGUACCAACCACCGAGGAUGUACUAGGCCGAGCAGAGGAGAGGAAAAAAAGAAAGCGCACAACCGCGACGUUGGUGAGCGGGUCGGAAAAAAUUGUGUCCAUGCGUUUUGCGUGUCGGCAGAACACAAAAGGUGGCAGACUGUGAACGCCAUGAGCACGCCACCGGAUGACGAGGCAGAAUUUGGCGACUGCCGCUUGGUCACUUCGCUUUUCUCACGCUUAAAAAGCGAUGGAGAACACGGACGUGUGCGUAUCACGUCGAGCAACAGCUCUUGAGUGCGCGCACCUCCCUGCGGAGGCGGCCCCUGGAGCGCUAAGCGUGUAUGUUAUUUUGUUUUGUGUGUGUUCGGUGCUGGCGCCGUGCACCCUCGCGUACGUCUCGACGGUGCCAGCACCCACCAGCCUCUUUGUGUCUGUACAGCUGCUUGCCUGUCAAGGACGGGCGGGGGGAGGAGGAGAGAGGAGUUUGUUGUUGAUUAAUUUAUAGAGUAUACUAAGCGCUGAUUGCGUCGUCGUUCUUUUUUUGUUCGUUUUUUUUUUGUGCUUUUGUCUUGUUCCUGUUGUGCGAUGAGUUGGUGGCCUUGGUUUCUUGUGUCUGUGUGUGUGGCACACUCGUUCUUCCCGUUUCUUUUGUGCGUACGUGAAGGGAUCUUUUUGGCAAUUUUGCAACCACCACGGUUGCUCAUGGUGCGUGCGUGCGUCUUUGUGCUUGAGGAAGUGCUUGUCCUUACUUUUCUUUCUGUUAUGAUUGGGAGCUGCUUCUCCACAUUCUUUGGUAUGUGCUGUGCGUUGGACUCCGCCCGCUGGCCUCCCUCUCCCCGUCUUCGCUCCUCCUUGCACUGAUCUCAGUUGUGUGGGUUGGCGCCGGUGCAUGGAUCUGCGCACCGUCCGCUUUCGCGUCAGCACCGUUUUUUUUUUCCUUCGUCGUCUGUGUGUGUGGGUCGUCCGUGCCCGCGUCUCGUGUGCGCCAUGCUGGAGACAUCUUGCCCCUCCUUUUCUCUCUUUCUGUGAGUUCAGCCUUAUCAUGUGUGCGUGUGCCCCACUGUUCUUCGCACCGUCUCUCCCUUCUCCGCUGGACAUGUCCCUUGAUUGCGGCUUCGCUGACUGAGAUCGAGGGCAUCAGAGGCGACUUGUUGGUGCAGUGUUAUCGUCGCUGCCGCCACGGCACCUGUAAUGGGGUGACGCAAAAGGGAAAAAAGGGGAGGGAGGGGACAAGCGCGACGCAGUGAGGGGGAGUCCAAGCGUCCAUGCAGAGGGAGGCUUGAAUGGGAGAGGGAGGCACGGCUGGCGGCAAAGGUGGGCUCGAACACCCGCGGUCUCCCCCCUUUUUUCGUUCACCACGUUGCUGUUCUCAAUACACGUCGUUACAGAUACCAGAUUAGCGGAUCGCAUUUUUUCCCAAUUCCUUUGCCUGCUCCGUUUUUCUCUUGCUCUCGGUUGUUGUCGACGCUACAGGCAGCACCGCGCGUGUGCCAAGGAUAUCCCCAUCUCGUCACUUUGCGCCACAUGUGCAGUUAUAAGGCCACCGCGGCACCACCCUUGGCGUCAUCCGUCGCUGUGACAGGGACGUAGAAGUGACCGUUCGGCGAGGGGAGAGAGUAUGAGAGGGAGGGGGAUGGUCGCGGUGCGUUGUGGCUCGCUCGCUAGCCGCCGCACAGACGCCCGCUAAACCACCUCCAUUCAAGAGAGAUGGAGCGUGAGACGCCACAGGAGAGAGAGAGAGAGCAGCCCAAGACCGUGCAAGGGGAGCGGAAUCAGGAAGCAGCAUAUCGUCGAUACGGAAGGCUUCUCCUCUAUAUGGAUGGGCGGACUGACGAUUUACAGGGUGGGCCGGCGACGGCUGAGAGUCUGCUCCGCGGCUCUGGAGCAGUACACGUUAAUGUGCGAAAGGGCGUAUCUCUCUUUGGUUUUGUCUCUCCCCUCUCCUACCUUCCCCCAGCUCGCUGGGGCGCCGUGUAUUCUGUGCAUUUUUACCACACACACACACACACACACAGGUGCGUGCACAGACACCGUACAUCUGUGUUUCACUACUUCCGUUCCUCUUGUAUGCCUGCGAUCAGGUGGGUGCUCGCCAAACAAGAGUGUGCGAGUGCGUGACGCUGCUGGGCAUUCCAAGUCCCCCCUUCCACCGGCUCUCUGCCUUUGUUAUUUCUUUUCUCCUCCUCGCUGUGCGCUCUUUUUGCUAUAUUUUGUGUUUUCUUUUUUUUGGUUUCUUCGCCAUGUUCUUCUCUUUGUUUUUGCUUUUUGUGUCGCUUCGAUCGUUUCUCAACUCUCUCUGCACCCUCCCCUCUCUCCCCGCCACCACCGCCACUUAUGCUUGUUUGUACUUCUCUCUGGAAUAAGGGUUCUCGCAAAAAGAAGGAGGGAAGAACUGAGCGGUGUCAGCGCCUCAUGACAAGCCAAAAUGGGGCGCACACGAAUUACGACGCGAGCGCGCAUAGAGCGGUAGUCGUAAGACAAAGACACGUAUGCACGGAAGCCGUUUUCCAGUAGGUGUGGGAAGUGGGUGGGCCAGCCGGUUUGUCGGCCACGCCCGUCUCAGUAACAAGGGGAGAUCGUUGUGGCCUUCUUUCCGGGGUAGCAAAAGACGAGAAGCAUGCGCUGCCCGUUGAGGACUUUGAACCGCCGCUACAGGUGAUGCCACCAGGCAGAGCACCCACACACCCACCUACCUGCCUAGACGGGGCACGCUUACUAAGCCCACCUAACUACAAGCCGUAGCAACUCUCAGAUCUCUUCCCUCGUUAUGCGCUUACCUGCAUCUAUGCGUGCGCGUGACGUUUUGGCCAACAACCACGUCGCCUCCGACGAUCCCCCGCCAGUCUCCCUUCGUUUCGCCGUCUCCAUGUCCGAGGGCUUUUAUCUGGGGAUCUCUUUUGCACUGGAGCGUUUCUCCGUUUUUUUGUGUUGUUGUGUUUUUUUUUCGUUCUGCCAGUCACCCCCUUUCGAUAUCGAUGAUCCGUGGCUGAGAAGAAAGAGAACAUAAGGAGAAACAGCGCUUGUGGGCGAGAGAGGUGUGCGCACGGCGGGCUGUCUUGCUCUGGAUGGGUGACUGUGCGGUGUACGGAGGUGGCAGAAGGCACUCACGCAUGCGGCACCAAGUCGACACGCAUGCGCUCCUUGCCAUGGAAACACAAACUUACCCACAAUCAGAAGCACCCACGACACGAAAAGUGCGCAGGCUGCGGACCCCCUGCCUCUUCUUCUUUAACUCCAUCUUUGUCUGUUUCCUUUCUUCUCGUCUCCCGUUUUAUUUUUGUCUUUUUUUUUUCCGUUCUUGUAUUGUCAGCCCUUUCCCUCCAUGGCUUUUGUGUGUGCGUGUGCUGUGUUGUGUUGUGUGUGCGCGCGUGUGUGCAUGCUCGUAUUUUGUCUAGUCGCUGCACUGGUUCGUCGGCUACUUCCGUCUUCCUCUUCGUCAUCAUUGUCCCUGGCUGUCGUCGUCACGCUUUGGUUUAGAGAUCUCCUUUUGCAUGUUUUUUUUUUCGUUUUGGUUGCUUCCCGUCUCCACGUUGCUUUCGGUUGUGUGCUGGUGCGCGCGUGCGUGUGUGUCUCGCUUCCUUUGUUGGUGCGAGUGUACUUGUUUCUCCGCUGUAGUUGACACUCUCGGCCUUUCGUUGUACUAGUCCAGGCGAAUCCGCGUCCUUCAAGCACGGCGAUAUACCAAACGCAAAAGACACACGCGCACAUUCAGAUGCAAAGUAGCGGUGGUCUCUUAUCGCUCUCUCUCUGUGUACUGUUACCUUGCGCCAGCGUCUGCCAGUCGGAGCUGCACACACAAAAAAGGAUGUAAUCGAUUAGGGAGGGAGGGAGUGGUGGGGGCGGCACCGUGGCCGUCUCCUCUUGUCUCCUCUAUCCGUGUCUUUGGAUGGCUGUGUGUGUGUAUGUGUGUGUGUGUGUGCACGCGUGUAUGGUGAGAGGGAUAGCGGUCGAUGGUAUAAACGCGGUGCACCAUGUGAGGCGGGCUUCUCUGACUGUUGCUGGCUGACGCUUGAAGCAGGAGCAGGCAGUUCAGGUGAGGGCAUCCUGAAGAAACAAGGAACUGCGCUGCCGCAUAUCCCUGUCGCGGUGUACGUGUUGUUUGUUGGCUUUUUGCGUGUGCGUGUGUGUGUGAUUUGUGCCUCCUUCUCAUCCCUUUCCUUGUCUUUCGCUUUUUUAUUUUCGUCUUGCCGUGUGCGCUGGAGACCGCUCCUGCUUUGUGCGUGUUGCGUUUUUGUUUUGUGGUUUUGUCCUUUUUUUUUACCCAUUGCGCAUCUCUUGCGGGUUUGUGUCUGUGUGUGUGUGCUGUCAGUGCGCCCCCCCCCAUGUUGGCAUGCUUUCGUCUCCUCCAUCUCGCUUGUCUUUUUCCCUUUUUUGGCUUCUUGUCUUGUGUUGCCUGAUUUUGGGGAUCGCCUUCUCUGUCUUUUUAUGUGUGAUGCACUGGAGGAUAAAGAAGCGGUGCAGGAGGCGAAUGACUGAAUAGAACACCGUACGAAUAGCGAUGCUUCAAGCGGUGUUUCGAUGGCGGAUGGGCGUUGUUCAUUCGAUGCUCUUUUUUAUUUGGUAUUGGCGUGUGCUCUGGUUUCUUUUAGUGGUUUGCCAGUUCCUCGCUGUGUGUGUUCCACUCUCCUCGUCUCUGUUUCUUGUCCACCCUGUUCUACCUCUAUUAAAGAAUGAGCAUGCAAAGAACACCCGCAACGACAAGGCGGAUCUCUGUGAUUCGUCGCUGCACAAUAUCGAUCACCGCAGACGUUUUAAUGUGGGUGCGCUGUCCAACGAAUGUCGUCACAACCCCUCGUGCGUGGUGUGGCUUUUUUUUUUUGGCGCGUUGCCACGGACGUCGGCGCACCGCGCGCGCGGUCUUUCGAUGUGCUCUCACUCCAUAGUUGCCGGCCUCCGACCCGUGAUGAUGAUGCCAGCAUAUUGCUUUGCUGAUCCACGCCACAAAUGAAGGCCACGCGGUCGUGCGGAAAGAACGAAUGCGACGGUGAAAUCAAGCAAGGCUGUUUUCUCCUCUUCACGGCUGACGGCAGCGCGCAACUCGUGGAUGAGCACUCCAUAGCGGACAGUCGAUGCCUUUUUCAUCCUCUGUGUGCCCCCUUCGGCUUCACGCUGGGCACCCUUUUCUCGCUCCUGCUUUUUCCUUCGUCGCGCUCUCCGCCGGGACCUGCGUGGAAG
rnacentral:misc_RNA from 1 species